rnacentral:rRNA from 1 species
AUGGAGAUAAGUUCAACAAUCUCCAACUGGGCCGGCCUCCCUGACCCAACCCUCCUAAGGCCCAGCCGCUGGCCUCCUCUUAACCUAGCCCGAUCCCACUUCUCUCCCUCGGUCCCUCCUCCAGCGCCGCCACCCCGUUCCCAAUCCCCACUCGCUCGCCACAGCUCUCUCGAUCCCCCUCGUCCUCCUUCCGAUUGCGUCACCAGGGGAAGCCUCGGCUCCAUCCCAAUCCUCCUCCACCCCGCGCCCGAUCUCGCUCUUCCUUGCGCCCUCCGGCGAGCUCGCCCCCCCGCGCCUUCUUCUCUUGCCGCAGCCGCCGUGACCCCGCCGUCGUCGCGCCCUUCUGCCGCUGCUCUGCUGCGGCCCCUCCAUGUCGCCCGCUCCUCUGCUCGAGGGCCUCCCCGUUCGAUGUGUCGUCGCGAGCUCCUUCUGCUCCCACUGUUCCCUGUCUCCAUCGUCUGCAUCGCCUCCACGGCUCCUCCGCACCACCAGGAACCGCGCGCCGCUACGGCGAUCCAGCCCGCCGGCGACCUCGACCCUUCCAGGGUCUCCCUAGCCUCUCGACCCACCGCUACAGUGGUCCGGCGCCCCAGGCUCGUCAGCGCCCGUGCCUCCUCCUCCCUCCUUUCGGCCUGCACCACCGGCCAUCUUCUCCUGCUGCCUCAGCAGCCCCUUCACGGCCAACUCCUACGAGACCUCCACCUCCUUGCUGCCCGAUGGGGCUUGUUUUUCCCCUCUUGUGGCCGCCAAGAACCGGCAACCAGGGAUGUCAAGGACGCCUUCAUGGUUUCUUUCGCCAAGUGCCGACGCCCGCAGAUUUUGGGACACGCCAAGUCCCACUUAAAGAUGUUCCACUUCAUCCGAUGUGGAUUUCGACAAGUACCACAAUGCUCGGAUCCCUCAGAUACGUCAAGGUUGACUACACUACGGGACGAAGAACGCCAAGUACCUCUCCGAAAACGAACGUGUACCACUACGUCCGGAGGCAUCGGAUCCGUCAAGUCCGAAGACCCAAGUACCAUGACGCCAAGUACCAGGACGACGAGGACCGCCAAGUUCGUCUUCCGCCGUCUUCGAAAUCGUCAAGUACCGCUAUGA